rnacentral:rRNA from 1 species
GAUGAACGCUAGCGGCAGGCUUAAUACAUGCAAGUCGAGGGGUAGCAAGAUUGUAGCAAUACAAUUGUUGACGACCGGCAAACGGGUGCGGAACACGUACACAACCUUCCUACAAGUGGGGAAUAGCCCAGAGAAAUUUGGAUUAAUACCCCGUAACAUAGCGAUGUGGCAUCACAUUGCUAUUAUAGCUUCGGCGCUUGUUGAUGGGUGUGCGGCUGAUUAGAUAGUUGGCGGGGUAACGGCCCACCAAGUCUACGAUCAGUAGCUGAUGUGAGAGCAUGAUCAGCCACACGGGCACUGAGACACGGGCCCGACUCCUACGGGAGGCAGCAGUAAGGAAUAUUGGACAAUGGACGCAAGUCUGAUCCAGCCAUGCCGCGUGAAGGAUUAAGGUCCUCUGGAUUGUAAACUUCUUUUAUAAGGGACGAAAAAAGGUCUUUCUAGAUCGUCUGACGGUACCUUAUGAAUAAGCACCGGCUAACUCCGUGCCAGCAGCCGCCGCCGUAA